AAGGUCCUAGCUUAAUUAAAGUAUCUGGGUUGCAUUCAGAAGAUGCAGGAUAAUAUCUUGCGGACUUUA
rnacentral:tRNA from 1 species